AUCCUGGCUCAGGAUGAACGCUAGCGGCAGGCCUAACACAUGCAAGUCGAGGGGUAACAGGGAGCUUGCUCUGCUGACGACCGGCGCACGGGUGCGUAACGCGUAUAGAAUCUACCUUGUACUGAGGAAUAGCCUUUGGAAACGAAGAUUAAUGCCUCAUAGUAUGUUAAGUUCGCAUGAACACUACAUUAAAGGUUACGGUAUAAGAUGACUAUGCGUUCUAUUAGCUAGAUGGUGUGGUAACGGCACACCAUGGCGACGAUAGAUAGGGGCCCUGAGAGGGGGAUCCCCCACACUGGUACUGAGACACGGACCAGACUCCUACGGGAGGCAGCAGUGAGGAAUAUUGGACAAUGGAGGCAACUCUGAUCCAGCCAUGCCGCGUGCAGGAAGACUGCCCUAUGGGUUGUAAACUGCUUUUAUAUAGGAAGAAACCUUUCCACGUGUGGAGAGCUGACGGUACUAUAAGAAUAAGGAUCGGCUAACUCCGUGCCAGCAGCCGCGGUAAUACGGAGGAUCCAAGCGUUAUCCGGAAUCAUUGGGUUUAAAGGGUCCGUAGGUGGAUAAUUAAGUCAGAGGUGAAAGUUUGCGGCUCAACCGUAAAAUUGCCUUUGAUACUGGUUAUCUUGAAUCAUUGUGAAGUGGUUAGAAUAUGUAGUGUAGCGGUGAAAUGCAUAGAUAUUACAUAGAAUACCAAUUGCGAAGGCAGAUCACUAACAAUGUAUUGACACUGAUGGACGAAAGCGUGGGGAGCGAACGGGAUUAGAUACCCCGGUAGUCCACGCCGUAAACGAUGGUCACUAGCUGUUCGGACUUCGGUCUGAGUGGCUAAGCGAAAGUGAUAAGUGACCCACCUGGGGAGUACGUUCGCAAGAAUGAAACUCAAAGGAAUUGACGGGGGUCCGCACAAGCGGUGGAGCAUGUGGUUUAAUUCGA
rnacentral:rRNA from 1 species